UCUCCGUAGGUGAACCUGCGGAGGGAUCAUUACUGAGUGAGGGCUCACGCCCGACCUCCAACCCUUUGUGAACACAUCUUGUUGCUUCGGGGGCGACCCUGCCGGCACUCUGUCGCCGGGCGCCCCCGAAGGUCUCCAAACACUGCAUCUUUGCGUCGGAGUUUAAAACAAAUUGAACAAAACUUUCAACAACGGAGCGCUUGGUUCUGGCAUGGAUGAAGGACGCAGC
rnacentral:misc_RNA from 1 species